rnacentral:lncRNA from 1 species
ACAAGACUGCAAUCAAGGGAAAGCAGACCUGGGGCCCACGGGCAAUCACAUGGGAUGAGAAAUACCAAAGAAUGUGACCAUCCAGGUAGCCGGGGGACACAGCUCCAAAAAAGUGAGAGUGGUGCUGGAUUAGCUCCAUUGGAGGAACUGGAGGUUCCAUUGGAUGGUGCUGGAUUAGUUCCAUUGCCGUUUGGCAAACCAGCUCUGCUUUUGUGAUACCAGCGACAGAACUCUGCAAACAUCUCUGCUUCGCAGCUGGCAUCCUGUUGGAUUUUUCCAGUAGAGGGAAGCUUCCAUGCUGCAGGAAGAAGGGGCGUGCUCCUUCCCGUUCCUGUCAGCACUGCUGCAGCAGUUUGCUCUCACAGCUGCAUGUGAUCCCAGCUGCCAUUUCUGACCUGCUCAGAACCAGCUUCAUGAUGGGCUCAAAGACCCAGGACCAGGUGCUCUUGUGACUUCUCUGACUUCAGUCCUUCUGGAGUCAGAUCACCCAGCUUCUCUGAUGAGUGACUGGUCAUUUUUAAAGCAUGCCUGCAGCAGUCUUCAAGAGGUUUCUGCCUGGGCAUCACAAUCAGCACACAUUUGCUCAUACACAUACCAGCUCUGGCAUGUACACGUGGCCACGGUACCCUUCGUACAACACGGGAAGAGAACAACAGGACGCCCAAGAGGCAUCUGGACAGCACACAGCAAACAGAAAGGCUGAACGCCCC